AUGGGGAGGUACAUCAUGCGGACGGGGUCGAUGGGCUUGGGCAGCAUGCGGUUCACGUCGCCGAGGAUGACCGGGCACAGGCACCGCAGCGAGCGGUCGUCCACCGCCGCCGUGCUGUUGAGGAACAUGCCCAGCCCGCUGCAGCACUCGCUCUGCGGCGUCGGGGUGUCCGGCUCGCUCCCCGUCAGGAACGACGCGCACGUCAUCAGCCCCGCCAGCGGCGUCACGCAGUCCGCCGGCGACGACGCCGACCCGCCGCCGUUGCCCGGCUGCUGCAGGCCUGGGAACCCGGGCAGCGGCUGCAGCGCCGGCUGCGAAGGCGCCCCGCUGCUGACGCACGGUGGGCUAAUAGCGGGCGACGACUGCAACGGCGGCGGCGGCGACGGCGGCGGCGAGGACGGCUUGAAGCGAGACGCUGGCGGCGACGCUACCCUGCCCCCGGGCACCCCCGGGAAGCCAGGGUUGCGCUGCCUGCCGCCCGGGAACCCCGGGAACCGAAGCUCGUCUUCGUCGGCCCCGCCGCUCCUCGCCGCCGCCUCCGACGACUGCGCCGCCAGCACCAUCGCAGCCACCGCCAUCACGACCAGCGCGCGCCUCGACCACACCAACGAUGACGCCAUCGAUCGCCUUCUCGACCACCAAGGACAGAUGACAGGAGCGGAAGAUCGACGAAGCUACACUGGCUAG
rnacentral:rRNA from 1 species